CCUCCCUACCCGAUCCACUUUCCUUUCUCCCUCUCUCUCUCGCAUGCUCUCUGCUAGCCCGAAUGGCUGCCCUCCGAUGGUCACCGCCGUGUAGGCACCGGAUCAAGAGUACCAGACACCGCCGAAACUCCAGCCUCACGAGCCCUUCGUUGCCGUUCUCCGCCGCGAGCAGAAGCCUCCAGGCUCGUACGUCACCGCCGUGGCUUCAAGGCCAAUUUCUGGCCUCCUCUGACAUCGUCUCAGGCGAAGGGUACCAUGGGUGAACUCAGGGUAUCAAGACGAACAAAGCCCAUCCAAGGAUCGGGCUUUUAAGUGACCGAAGGAGACGGAAUCAACUCUCCAUUUGCUGCUUGUAGUCUUCUUCUCGAGACCAAGUUCUAAAUGUCAUGUUCAUCCACAUGAGAGGGGUAUAGUUGAUUUCCACCCUAUAUAUUUCCAUUCAAAUGAGGCUAGUGGAUCUAUGAAACCAAUUACUUAUGGUUCCAUAUAAUUAACGACAGUUGACCAAUCAAGAUUUAGAAGGACUCGAGUUACUGAGGGUGGGUUUUGAUGAAUACAUGAAUUUGGUUCUUGAUGAUGCUGAAGAAGUCAAUGUCAAGAAUUUGGGGCUCGGUAGGGACGGUGGCUGGGCUGGGCUCGGGGCUGGCUGGUGGGGUUCUCAACUUCACGGCGGCGACACUAUAGCUCACGGCGGCAGCAAGUAUUUAUUUUAUUUCUUGAUUUUUUUAUGUUAAAAUAUGUUUCAUUUGAUUGUGUUGGAUAUGUUCAGAUCUGAUUUUGAGCCUAGACUAAUAAUGAAUAUCAUCUGUAGUGUAUUUUGCUUAUGCUUUAAUGGCUUUAUACUUGUGUUUCAGUAUUGGUUAUUGGUUUAUUUUGUGACUUGAUUUUUUUGUAUUUUGUGACUGGAUUUUGGUGUGUUUAUGGUUUAUUUUGAUGCUUCUUUAAUGGAUUAAUAUGGUAGAUUUAUGGUC